GGACAACAGUGGCAGAUUUAUGGACCAUCCAACAGUUUUCCUCUCCCAUAAUCAGUUCCUCUCUGGCGGAAUUCCAGAUCCACAAGUGACUGGAAGUGAUGUUAGAGAGAAGGGAUAUUUUGCUGCUUGGAAUUCCACUGCCACCCCCAAAGAAGUGCUGUUUUCGUCACUUGUAUGAGCUCCUUUCUCUGGGAAAAUUCACAGCAUUGCUUUCUAGAGACUGACAUGUUCCAAAAACUAGGUUUCAUAUGAAUGAACUUAUUCCUUCCCCUUGAGAUGAGACAUAAAGAAAAAUGUUAGGAAUAAUUCUGCCUCCAUCCUCAAAGGCCUGUGUGAAUUCUCACAAAGAAGAUGACUUCCUGGGAGCUCUUUUGAGCAUGAAUGAUACCAGUAAACCCCUGAAGGAAGACUCUCAGACAGAGCCCUUUUGCCUCCCUCUUGUCUGAGGGCUGCCCUCUGAAGGUGAUGACCACAGAGACAAGGUGGAUUUGUUACUGUAGGUGCCAUUACUUCUGCCACCAGCUUCUCCAGUACAGUGACAGUCUUCUUUGUGCAUGGAAACUCUGCUCUUUCCUGUGUUGCAGUGGAUACCUCC
rnacentral:lncRNA from 1 species